rnacentral:rRNA from 1 species
UACGUAGGGUGCAAGCGUUGUCCGGAAUCAUUGGGCGUAAAGCGCGCGUAGGUGGCCUCAUAAGUCCGUUGUGAAAGUCAAAGGCUCAACCUUUGAAAGCCGAUGGAUACUGUGAGACUAGAGUACGGAAGAGGCGAGUGGAAUUCCUGGUGUAGCGGUGGAAUGCGCAGAUAUCAGGAGGAACACCAAUAGCGAAGGCAGCUCGCUGGGACGUUACUGACACUGAGGCACGAAAGCGUGGGGAGCAAACAGG